rnacentral:rRNA from 1 species
AUUGAACGCUGGCGGCAUGCUUUACACAUGCAAGUCGAACGGUAACAGGGUGCUUGCACCGCUGACGAGUGGCGAACGGGUGAGUAAUGCGUCGGAACGUGCCGAGUAGUGGGGGAUAACGCAGCGAAAGUUGUGCUAAUACCGCAUACGUACUGAGGUAGAAAGUGGGGGACCUUCGGGCCUCACGCUAUUCGAGCGGCCGACGUCUGAUUAGCUAGUAGGUGAGGUAAGAGCUCACCUAGGCGACGAUCAGUAGCGGGUCUGAGAGGAUGAUCCGCCACACUGGGACUGAGACACGGCCCAGACUCCUACGGGAGGCAGCAGUGGGGAAUUUUGGACAAUGGGCGCAAGCCUGAUCCAGCCAUGCCGCGUGUCUGAAGAAGGCCUUCGGGUUGUAAAGGACUUUUGUCAGGGAGGAAAUCCUGGUGGUUAAUAGCUACUAGGGAUGACAGUACCUGAAGAAUAAGCACCGGCUAACUACGUGCCAGCAGCCGCGGUAACAC